rnacentral:rRNA from 1 species
GUGGGGAAUCUUGCGCAAUGGGCGAAAGCCUGACGCAGCCAUGCCGCGUGAAUGAUGAAGGUCUUAGGAUUGUAAAAUUCUUUCACCGGGGACGAUAAUGACGGUACCCGGAGAAGAAGCUCCGGCUAACUUCGUGCCAGCAGCCGCGGUAAUACGAAGGGGGCUAGCGUUGCUCGGAAUUACUGGGCGUAAAGGGGGCGUAGGCGGACAGCUUAGUCAGAGGUGAAAGCCCAGGGCUCAACCUUGGAAUUGCCUUUGAUACUGGCUGUCUUGAGUUUGGGAGAGGUGAGUGGAACUCCGAGUGUAGAGGUGAAAUUCGUAGAUAUUCGGAAGAACACCAGUGGCGAAGGCGACUCACUGGCCCAAUACUGACGCUGAGGCGCGAAAGCGUGGGGAGCAAACAGGAUUAGAUACCCGUGUAGUCC